UACAGAGGGUGCAAGCGUUAAUCGGAAUUACUGGGCGUAAAGGGUGCGUUAGGUUGGUUUAUUAAGUUAAGUGUGAAAUCCCCGGGCUUAACCUGGGAAUUGCGCUUAAUACUGGUGAACUUGAGUACUGUAGAGGAAGGUGGAAUUUCCGGUGUAGCGGGUGAAAUGCGUAGAUAUCGGAAGGAACAUCAGUGGACGAAGGCGAUUUCUGGACAGAUACUGACACUGAGGCACGAAAGCAUGGGGAGCAACAGGA
rnacentral:rRNA from 1 species